rnacentral:tRNA from 1 species
GGCUCGGUAGCUUAGUUGGUAAAGCUCUUGUUUAGCGAAUAAAGGGGCCAUUAGACUGUUUGUCAUUAUCUGUCAUUAUGACAAAUAUUUGCCGUUGUAGUUCGACAUUCAUCCGAGGUUGCCAUGAUUCACGUUGUGUUGGUCAUUUGUUGGGCUUGUUUGGCCAAAAAUUUGUCAUGUCUAAUGGGACCUUAAGGGUCGUGAGUUCAAAUCUCACCUGAGCUG